UUAAGUCAGCGGGUAUCCCUACCUGAUCCGAGGUCAACCAUUGAAAUUGGGGGUUAAUGGCAAGCAUCCACCGGGACUCUAUAGCGAGAAGAAUUACUACGCUUAGAGCCAGAUGGCACCGCCACUGAUUUUAAGGGCUGCCCGUGCGGCAGGCCCCAACACCAAGCCGAGCUUGAGGGGUUAUAAUGACGCUCGAACAG
rnacentral:misc_RNA from 1 species